CCUGCGGGUGGCAGCAGUGGGGAAUAUUGGACAAUGGGCGAAAGCCUGAUCCAGCCAUGCCGCGUGUGUGAAGAAGGCCUUCGGGUUGUAAAGCACUUUCAGUGGGGAAGAAAGCCUUGGGGCUAAUACCCUCGAGGAAGGACAUCACCCACAGAAGAAGCACCGGCUAACUCCGUGCCAGCAGCCGCGGUAAUACGGAGGGUGCGAGCGUUAAUCGGAAUUACUGGGCGUAAAGCGCGCGUAGGCGGUCUGAUAAGCCGGUUGUGAAAGCCCCGGGCUCAACCUGGGAACGGCAUCCGGAACUGUCAGGCUAGAGUGCAGGAGAGGAAGGUAGAAUUCCCGGUGUAGCGGGGAAAUGCGUAGAGAUCGGGAGGAAUACCAGUGGAGAAGGCGGCCUUCUGGACUGACACUGACGCUGAGGUGCGAAAGCGUGGGUAGCAAACAGGAUUAGAUACCCCAGUAGUC
rnacentral:rRNA from 1 species